rnacentral:tRNA from 1 species
GCAUUGGUUCGGUGGUAGAAUUCUCGCCUGCCACGCGGGAGGCCCGGGUUUGAUUCCCGGCCAAUGCA